rnacentral:rRNA from 1 species
GACGAACGCUGGCGGCGUGCUUAACACAUGCAAGUCGAGCGGUAAGGCCCUUUCGGGGGUACACGAGCGGCGAACGGGUGAGUAACACGUGGGUGACCUGCCCUCAGCUCUGGGAUAAGCCUGGGAAACCGGGUCUAAUACUGGAUAUGACUCCAUGACGCAUGUUGUGGGGUGGAAAGCCUUGUGCGGCUGAGGAUGGGCCCGCGGCCUAUCAGCUUGUUGGUGGGGUGGUGGCCUACCAAGGCGACGACGGGUAGCCGGCCUGAGAGGGCGACCGGCCACACUGGGACUGAGACACGGCCCAGACUCCUACGGGAGGCAGCAGUGGGGAAUCUUGCGCAAUGGGCGAAAGCCUGACGCAGCGACGCCGCGUGA